GAUGAAUGCUGGCGGCGCGCCUAACACAUGCAAGUCGAGCGGAAAGGCCCUUCGGGGUACUCGAGCGGCGGACGGCUGAGUAACGCGUGGGAACAUGCCCCAAAGUGAGGAAUAACUGCCCGAAAGGGUAGCUAAUGCCGCAUAUGAUCUUCGGAUUAAAGGAUUUAUCCGCUUUGGGAGUGGCCCGCGUACGAUUAGGUAGUUGGUGAGGUAAAGGCUCACCAAGCCUACGAUCGUUAACUGGUCUGAGAGGAUGAUCAGUCAGACUGGAACUGAGACACGGUCCAGACUCCUACGGGAGGCAGCAGUGAGGAAUCUUCCACAAUGGGCGAAAGCCUGAUGGAGCGACGCCGCGUGCAGGAUGAAGGCCUUCGGGUUGUAAACUGCUUUUAUAAGUGAAGAAUAUGACGGUAACUUAUGAAUAAGCACCGGCUAACUACGUGCCAGCAGCCGCGGUAA
rnacentral:rRNA from 1 species